rnacentral:rRNA from 1 species
UCCUACGGGGGGCAGCAGUAGGGAAUUUUCGUCAAUGGGCGCAAGCCUGAACGAGCAAUGCCGCGUGAACGAGGAAGGUCUUCGGAUCGUAAGUUCUGUUGACGGGGAAAAAGAGCGGAGAGAGGAAAUGGUCUCCGAUUGAUAUUACCCUUCGAGGAAGUCACGGCUAACUACGUGCCAGCAGCCGCGGUAAUACGUAGGUGGCGAGCGUUAUCCGGAAUGAUUGGGCGUAAAGGGUGCGUAGGCGGCCUGCUAAGUCUGGAGUGAAAGGUACCGGCUCAACCGGUACAGGCUCUGGAAACUGG